rnacentral:rRNA from 1 species
GACGAACGCUGGCGGCGUGCUUAACACAUGCAAGUCGAACGGUGAAGCGCCUUCCUUUUUGGUGGGUGUGGAUGAGUGGCGAACGGGUGAGUAACACGUGAGUAACCUGCCCCCUUCUUCUGGAUAACCGCAUGAAAGUGUGGCUAAUACGGGAUAUUCUGGGUCUGUCGCAUGAUGGGUCUGGGAAAGAUAUUGUUUCGGUGGGGGAUGGGCUCGCGGCCUAUCAGCUUGUUGGUGGGGUGAUGGCCUACCAAGGCGGUGACGGGUAGCCGGCCUGAGAGGGUGGACGGUCACACUGGGACUGAGACACGGCCCAGACUCCUACGGGGGGCAGCAGGGGGGAAUAUUGCACAAUGGGCGCAAGCCUGAUGCAGCGACGCCGCGUGAGGGAUGGAGGCCUGCGGGUUGUGAACCUCUUUCGCCAGUGAAGCAGGCCUGCCUCGUUUGUGGGUGGGUUGACGGUAGCUGGAUAAGAAGCGCCGGCUAACUACGUG